rnacentral:rRNA from 1 species
UACGUAGGGUGCGAGCGUUAAUCGGAUUUACUGGGCGUAAAGCGUGCGCAGGCGGCCCGUUAAGACAGGUGUGAAAUCCCUGGGCUCAACCUAGGAAUUGCGCUUGUGACUGGCGGGCUCGAGUACGGUAGAGGGGGGUGGAAUUCCUGGUGUAGCAGUGAAAUGCGUAGAGAUCAGGAGGAACACCGAUGGCGAAGGCAGCGCCCUGGGCCUAUACUGACGCUCAUGCACGAAAGCGUGGGGAGCAAACAGG